CCGAGGUCCUUCACUCCUCCUGGCCGCUGGAGUGCUGUGAUGUCUGCACCUUUUUCAGACUUUUCUGCUCCUCUGCGUCCCACACCCGGUGGGACUUCAUCAACAGCGAGGACCAGAUGGACUUUGCUGACAGCAAACACACGUUACACUUCAGACAGAAGUCAUCAAUGUGCCGCCUGACAGCUACAAGAGACUGUUCCUGAUAAAGCUCACUUUUGAUGGAUGCUUCAGCUGCAUUAACAUCGAGCACGUCUGGAUAGAAGUGGUGUCCUGUCUUGGAUAUGAGAGAUGACUAGGCAGUCACCUUGGUGCUCGUAGCAUCACAUCGAUACUUCAAGUCGCCUGUCAUAAAGGAAAGUUUUUCCAUGAUGCUGUAGCAAAGGAGGCAGUUUGGAUUAGACACUUUCCCUCAGAGACCUGUGAAGUGGGUAAAGUAUCUGGCUCUCGUUAGCAGGAAUUCUCAUGUCAUACAGUUCCUUAGACAAAUGAAGUAAAACAUCUGUUCACAUCUGACAAGUCGGAGAAAAUUACCAGGUGAUGCAGCGAUGAAUCACAUGUGACGAAGUGACCUUUCAAUGUAGGAACCAGGUGUUUCUCUCAGUUGGUUUUAGCAGUGCAAAGAAAGUUUUCAGAUUUGUCUGUGGGAGACAUUAUUAUGCAGGGCAAGGACAGUGCAGUGACCACCACAUGUUGAAACCGAUGUCUCCAAUAAAUGU